AUUGAACGCUGGCGGCAGGCCUAACACAUGCAAGUCGAGCGGAGCGGCGGACGGGUGAGUAAUGCCUAGGAAUCUGCCUGGUAGUGGUGGUUCACGUCCGGACACGGGCGCUAAUACCGCAUACUAUCAGAUGAGCCUAGGUCGUAUUAGCUAGUUGGUGGGGUAAAGGCCUACCAAGGCGACGGUCAGUAACUGGUCUGAGAGGCUGAUCAGUCACACUGGAACUGAGACACGGUCCAGACUCCGACGGGAGACAGAAGUGGGGAAUAUUGGACAAUGGGCGAAAGCCUGAUCCAGCAAUGCCGCGUUGGUGAAGAAGGUCUUCGGAUUGUAAAGCACUUUAAGUUGGGAGGCGUUACCAACAGAAUAAGCACCGGCUAACUUCGUGCCAGCAGCGGCGGUAAUUC
rnacentral:rRNA from 1 species